rnacentral:rRNA from 1 species
AGAACUUAGCAGAGAUGCCUUUUGGGUGCCUUUCGGGGAACUCUGAGACAGGUGCUGCAUGGCUGUCGUCAGCUCGUGUUGUGAAAUGUUGGGUUAAGUCCCGCAACGAGCGCAACCCUUUAUCCUUUUGUUGCCAGCGGUCCGGCCGGGAACUCAAAGGAGACUGCCAGUGAUAAACUGGAGGAAGGUGGGGAUGACGUCAAGUCAUCAUGGCCCUUACGAGUAGGGCUACACACGUGCUACAAUGGCGCAUACAAAGAGAAGCGACCUCGCGAGAGCAAGCGGACCUCAUAAAGUGCGUCGUAGUCCGGAUUGGAGUCUGCAACUCGACUCCAUGAAGUCGGAAUCGCUAGUAAUCGUAGAUCAGAAUGCUACGGUGAAUACGUUCCCGGGCCUUGUACACACCGCCCGUCACACCAUGGGAGUGGGUUGCAAAAGAAGUAGGUAGCUUAACCUUCGGGAGGGGCGCUUACCACUUUGUGAUUCAUGACUGGGGUGAAGUCGUAACAAGGUAAGCGUAGCGAG